UACAGAGGGGGCAAGCGUUGUUCGGAAUUACUGGGCGUAAAGGGCGCGUAGGCGCCUUCUAAGACGAACGUGAAAUCCCUGGGCUCAACCCAGGAACUGCGUCCGAUACUGGAAGGCUUGAAUCCGGGAGAGGGAUGCGGAAUUCCAGGUGUAGCGGUGGAAUGCGCAGAUAUCAGGAGGAACACCGGUGGCGAAGGCGGGAUCCUGGGCCAGUACUGACGCUGAGGAGCGAAAGCGUGGGGAGCAAACAGG
rnacentral:rRNA from 1 species